AACAGGAUUAGAUACCCUGGUAGUCCACGCCCUAAACGAUGGAUACUAGGCGUAAGAGGUAUCGACCCCUCUUGUGCCGCAGCCAACGCAUUAAGUAUCCCGCCUGGGGAGUACGGCCGCAAGGUUGAAACUCAAAUGAAUUGACGGGGACCCGCACAAGCGGUGGAGCAUGUGGAUUAAUUCGAUACUAACCGAAGAACCUUACCCAGGUUUGACAUCGAUUGAAAGCUCUAGAGAUAGGGCCCUCCCUCACAAGGGGACAUGAAGACACUUGUUGCAUGGCUGUCGUCAGCUCGUGCCGUGAGGUGUACGGUUAAGUCCGCCAACGAGCGCAACCCUCGUCCUGUGUUACCAGCGAGUAAAGUCGGGAACUCACAGGAGACCGCCGGUGUAAGCCGGAGGAAGGUGAGGAUGACGUCAAGUCAGCAUGGCAGUUACGCCUGGGGCUUCACACAUGCUACAAUGGGCGAAACAAAGGGCAGCAAAACCGCGAGGUAGAGCCAAUCCCAAAAAUACGCCCCCAGUUCAGAUUGCAGUCUGCAACUCGACUGCAUGAAGGCGGAAUCGCUAGUAAACGCAGGUCAGUUAUACUGCGUUGAAUACGUUCCCGGGUCUUGUACACACCGCCCGUCAAGUCACCUGAAUUGUCUUCACCCGAAGUCCGUGGCCCAACCGUAAGGAGGGAGCGGCCGAAGGUGAGGGGGGUAAGGGGGACUAAGUCGUAACAAGGUACC
rnacentral:rRNA from 1 species